UAACAUCAUAGAGAAUGUGAUAGCAGAGUUCAUUCUCAGCAAUAUAUGUGAAACUAAUUAGGAAUCAAACUGUCUUCAAUAGUUAGAUGGAGGUGGAGGUAUGAAAGGAAUGGAAGGCAAGCUGCUGCUGGGAAGUGGUGGAAGAAUAGUGAUAAGCUUAGGCUAAGAUGGUGGGAUUGUUGGUAGCUUUGGGAUUCAAGGCAAUAUAGGAGGAAGUGGUGGAAUUGGUACGCUGGGAAGUGGUGGAAGAAUGGGGGUAGGGUUAGGAAGUGGUGGAAUUGGUACUGGUACUCUAGGAAGUGGUGGAAGACUGGGGGUAAGGUUAGGAAGUGGUGGAAUUGGUAAUCUGGGAAGUGGUGGAAUUGGGAAUCCAGGAAGUGGUGGAAGAAUGGGGGGAAGUGGUGGAAUUGGUGGAAUUGGUGGAAUUGGUGGAAUAGUUACUUGCUGAAGAUUUCGAGCUGCUAGGCUAACCUCCAUGCUUGAAAAACCCAACAAAAUGAAACAAGCUAAUAAAAUGAAAACGUUGGAACCUGCCAUUUUUUUUGGAGAGAUGAACUAAAGAUUGAAGAUUUGAGUUGAGGUUUGCAUUGAGGAAAGCAGGAUUGCUUUUCAGGUAUUUAUAGCCACAUUUGAAAGACUUAAUUAAUUAUUUGUUUGAGAUAUUAUUCCCCUACUUAGCAUACUACCUUUUCUCACCCAUCUGUCAUCACCAACAAAAAGAAGAAGAAGAUAAAUUAGACUCAUCCUUAAACUUAAAAAUAUUCUGAAUGAGUCGAUUUGUCUAAUGUUAGUUAAAAAUUAAAUGCUUUUAAAUUUUGUGUGAACUAUAUCUUUCUAUUUCCAUUUACCUAAUGCCAGUUAAAAAAUAAAUAUUUUUUUAUAUAAUGAGUGUAUAUUUGACUUACGUAUGUGGCGCUCUAUUAAAAAAAAAAUUAAAUUAGGUGGAUCAAAUUUAAAUAUUAGAUAACUAUACAUGUUGGUACUUAAACUUGGUAUUUAAGAUUUUUUGUUGUCCAAUUAAAGGUUGAAUUUAAAUUAGAUAGUUGAACUUGAUUUCUUAGUUCAAAUUCCAAGCUUAGAUACCAAAAUGUUUGGUAUAAUAUUAAAUUAAAAAAAUUCAAGAUGUAAAAUACUAAUUUAACAUUUAAACUAGUUGCCCCAUACAGCUACAAUGGUAAUGAUAGAAGAAAAGUAAUUGAAUGGGAUUAGGAGAUGAAGAUCCUAGUAAAGCCACCUCUAGAGGUAUGAGAGUUGCGACCACUCUAUAAUUGAAUGCUACAAAAAUGGUUAUAUCUAGGAAUCUUUCGCCAUUAGCUAAUAAUGGAAAUAGCUAUGUAUCACUUAAAAAACAACAAUUCAUAUUUUCUUGAAAUAUAUUCAAAAAAUUGAAAAAUAUAAAAAAUAUCAUUUUUCUAAAAAUCCAAAAAUUUUAUGUGAAUAUCAACAAAUUCAGAAACUAAAAGAUAUGGAAAGCUUUAAAGUUUUUCCAAAAAGAUAGAAAUUUGCAGAAAAUUAGGUAUUUAAGAUUCCAAUAUUUUUAUUUCCCUUCUUUCCUGAUUGGAGAAAAUAUGAAUUAGGUGACGCCAUCGUUAACAAUUGGGGCAAGGUAAGACACGGUUGGAAACUUCAAGUAGGUGUAAUUUUGGGGAAAUAUUACAUUGUUUAAUAAUGAAUAUUGACAUGAUUUACCCUGAGUUAAAUCAAUUAUAUUUUACUUAUAUUUUCUAUACAAAUUUUAUACAAGCCUAAAUUAAUCAUAUUCAAUCAUAUCAAUCUCAAUAUUUUGAAUAAGAUAAUAAUAUUUUCUUAAAACUAUAACUAUAUAAAGUAUUGUAAAAAUAAUUAUUCAAUUAUACAGCUAUUUUAUUUGUAUAAUUAUAAUUAACAUAACCUUCUCCAUCAUAUAAUUAAAAUUUGUUCAACUUAUAAUUACAACAACUUUCCGUGAAGAAAAGAGAGAGACACAAAUACAAACUAAUGAGAUUAAAUAAAUCUCAAAUAUAAAAUAUUCUUCAAUAAACAUCAUUAAUCAAUCUCAAAAGAAACAAGAAAAGAAAUUCAUAAAUUAAACAAUAAGAAUAUAAUAUAACAAUCCAUUAUUUAAUAAAUUCAAAAAAAAAAAUCACAUUUAUAUUUUAAAUUUUAUUGGUCUAAUUUUAGAUAGGUUUAUAAACUUCAAAUGAUUUAAAAUAUUAGUGUCACGCCCCUAAAUAUAGGAAGGUUCAUUGAAAUGAAUAAAUAAGAAAUGUGUUGACACCAUUUUUUUGAUGAAAACGGGGUUGACUUGGAUUUUGAAAAUGAAAAUUAAAAUGACAGUCGCCACCAAUCCUUUUUGAUAAGGUGUGAUCGGAUCACCUUGAAAAGUGGUUGUUUUUAAUAAACGAUUUAAUUUUAUUAAAACAACGAGUUUGGUCCACGAAAUUCAGAAAAAUGGGUUCGGGAGUCGGUUACGUACGAGGAAGGAUUAGCGCCCUCGUGACGCCCAAAAAUUGGUACCUAGUUGAUUAGUUAAUGUCUUAAUGUCAAAAAUUGUAAACUUUGAAGAAUUUUAAAAAUACGAUCCUUAAUUUUUUUAAAAAGAAAACUUAUAUAAAUCAAGUUACUCGUUAAGACCCUCCCAUUUCAGAAAGAGAAAACGUCACGCCCAAUGCGUUAGGGCACGAUAUUUUACCUCUUCAGAAAUGAGCUUGUCUAAAAACUUACACAAUAAAAUUUUAAAGGGCAUUCAAUUGUUUAAGUCAUGUGAAAAAUUGCAACCCAAUACAUUAGGGCACAAUUUCUCAAAAUAUUAAACAUUGAAUAUUGCAUUUAUUUUGAAAAAUCCUCAUAUCCAAUGCGUUACGGCACAACGUACUGAAUUCUCGAUAAUGAGCUAUUUAUUUAUGUUUUUGUUUUAAAGAGCACCCUCGAUUAUUUAGAUCCAACGAAGAAAAUUGGAACCAAUACGUUAGGGUUCAAUUCUCUCGAAGAUCCCAAAUACCGAGUAUUACUUUUAUUUUGAAAUUUUCCGUUUUUGAUAAAUCCGAGUAAAAAUGGAUGCAAAAUAAUGAUAAUGAUGAUAAUGUAAGUAAAAUAACACGAGCAAAACAAAAUAUAAAUAAAUAAUAAGACUAAUAUAAAUACAAUCGUGCAGGCGCAAUAACAAAUAAGAAACAGAUAAAAACUAAAGCAAGAAAAAUAAUAAUAACAUACAUGUAAAUAAAUAACUGAACAAAAUUAACAAAAUUAAAAAAAAUAUAAAAGAUAUAUUUAUACAUAUAUAUGUAUAAAAUUAUGAAAAUAUUAAAAACAUAUGCAUGUACACAUUUUUGAAGCUAUUAUACAUGAAAAUAUAUGUAAGUAUAUAUGCACAUACAUGAAUACGUAUAGAACCAUCAUCAAAUAUAUAAAAGUAUAUAUAUAUAUAUGUAGGUAUAUAUGAAUCACAAAAUUUAAAGAAUAAUAUAUAUAAGAUAUAUAUUUUGGAAGUAUAAAGAAUAUGUAAGAAUUUAUAUAUACAUACAUUUAUAUAUGAAAAUGAAAUAUAUAGAUAUGUAUGUGGGUAUGUAUAAAUAUUAUAAAAUAUAAAAACAUAUAUGUGUACGCAUAUAUAUAAAAAUAUACAUAUGUAUAUAUACAUAUAUAUUAUGAAAAUAAAGCUAAAAAAAAACUAGUUAGUGUAUUAACAUAAUUGUAACGACUAAAUAAAGGAAAAUAAUAAUAAUAAUAAUAAUAAUAAUAAUAAUAACAUUAAAAUAAUUAACUAAAUAAUAAAAAUUGCUAAAAAAAGAUUAAAUCGAAAUAAAAACGAAAAUACUGGGCAAAUUCGAAAUAAAAAAAACGAAAAGGAUUAAAUUGCUACACGCAUCGAAAGAGGGAGACCAAAACGAUAAAUAAACCAAAGCCCCAAAACGCAGCGCUGCAACGGACUAAAAUGAAACAAAAGGAAAACUAUGUGGCUAAAUUAAAAUAAAAGAAAAUAAUGAAAAAGGGCCAAAUUGCAACUCGUUGCAAAGUCGGAGUGACUACGCGCGCAAAUAUCCCCUUUUAAGAAAACACGCGGAUCCUCCCCCAGGGUCGGGUCACCGAGCGGGUCAGGGCCAAAAUGGCGUCGUUUUGGCACCUGACCCUAAUGACAAAACGGCGCCAUUUCGUUUAGGGUAUUUAAACCUAAUUUUUCCCAAAAAACCUAAUUUCAGCCACCAUUUAAAAAAAAUAAAAAACUUUCUUUUUCUUUCAAAAAUCUGACUUUUGGGGUAAAAUUUUUUACUUUCUCUUGAUAUUUUGCGCGAAUAUGAAUUGUUUUUUUUUAAAAAAAUAUGUAUAAAAAUAAAAAUGAACGGGUAUAAAAAAGAAAAGAGAUGCGAAACUAAAAUCACAUUGGAGUGAAUCUGUUUGUUUUUUUUAAAUCUGUUUUUGUAUUAUUUAAAAGUGUUCUUACAAAAAAUCUAAAAAGGAACCCCCUAAAUUACAGAAAAAUUUGGCUUUUAUAGCCGAUUCUCCCCCCUCAUUCUUUGCUCUGUUGCUUUUCUAUUGCUUGCAGGGACUUGACGCGGUGCAUGUGGGGUGUCGGUGGCAAGUGGGGUGAUGGAACAUCCGACGGUGGCCGUGGCUGCUGGUGAUGCGACUGGUGUGCGGCGGCCAAGAGCUAGGGUUUCAGAAAAGCUGAAACCCUAGUUUGACUGUUGGGGUUGGGAUUUUGGGCCAAUUGGGUUAUUGGGCCUCGAGUUUGGGUUUGUAAUUGGGUUAAUUUAUUUUUUUUGGGUUUUAUGUUUGGGUUUAUUGAAUAUUGGGCUGAGGGUUAGUGGGUUAGGCCUAGGUGGGUUGGUUUGGGUUUUGGGCCCCGGGCUAAAAUUGGGCUUGUACAAAAUGAAUUAGGUUUAAUGGCUAAGUGUUAAAGAAUUCACCUUAGAGACUUAAGUUCGAGUUCCCUUCCUUCCUUUUUAUUUUUGGUAACUUGGUUUUAGGGUAAAGUCACACUCAAAAUAUAUACGACUAGGAAUUAAGAAUAAAUAAGAAAUGGGCAAUAGGUCCAAUGGUUAAGUGUUAAUCCCCUAUCUUAGAGAUCUUAGGUGUAAGUUUCCUUUUUCCCCUCCCAUUUUUCUUUUGGAUUUCGACAAUAAGGGGAAAUUUGCUGUGCCACCCCUAGGGUUUUCAAACCCGAGCUAUUUAAUCAUUCUUUUCCCAUUUGGAUUAGUUUUGCUUCUUUUCAAAUUCUUGUAAAAUUUCUACUCAUAUUAUAUUUCUCUUAUAUUUAUUUUCUUUUCCUUUCUUUUCAUUGUAACACCCUAAACUCGGUCGAAUAGGUUCGACCUAAAUUUGGAGAGCUACAUUAGCCACCGAAGUGACUUUCCAUUAACUCCCAAUCUAACCUCUAACACACCACUUACUUGCAACGUAUAUUAUGAUAAGUUAUAUCAUAACAAGGGUAUAAUAUAAUACAUAUAAUGUAAAUCAUGCAAGCUUAAAACCAAUGUAACACCCCAAACCCGGCUGAGUAGGUUCGACCCAAAUUUGGCGAGUUACAUUAGCCACCGAAGUGACUCUCCAUCAAUUCCCAACCUAACCUCCAACACACCACUUACUUGCAAUGUAUGUUAUGAUAAGUUAUAGCAUAACAGUGAAAUAAUAUCACAUAUAGAAUGUAAAUCAUGCAACCUUAUCAAACAAAAUGAGGGAACGGUUCGCAUGUUAAUUACUACGUAAGGCUACGUAGUAAGGUUAUCGCACCUAAGGGUUCACAAGCAUAUAGGGGGUCACAAACAAACAAAGGUCGCAGAAAAUAACACUUCGCAAAAAAAAUUGGCUCGCGUAUGAUGUUAAUACAUAUUUUGGAAAAAUUGAAAGAAUGCGACAUGGUACUCAUGCUAGGAGAAUUAAAGAAACAUCAAAGUAUAUUCAUGCAGAGAAGAAAUUAGUAAUAAAGGUUUAACUUCAUGGUUCGCAAAAUAUUAAAAGAAUAAACUUAAACUUUAGGGAAAUCGUUUCAUUAACAGAAUCAUAUAAUGAUAAAUCUAAACCUAUAUAAAUAAAACCCCAUCACCUAUUUCCCUAGGUUCGCAUUAUUUGUUCAGAGAUAGCCUCGCUAUUGCCAUUGGCGACUUACUUACCUGCAAAGUAAGAGAAGAGUGGGUGAGUUCAUUGCGAACUCGGUGAAUAAUCCGGAAUCAUCAACGUAUGAUUAAAAUACAGAGUUUAAAAUAGAAAGAAGACUUAGUAUGAAAAACUAUUGUAUCGCGUGUUGGGUUCGCAGUGAAUGCUAGGUUCGCAGUGAAUGUGCGAGACCCAGUUUAUAGAACCUGCUUGUCAUAAAAUCAUAUAAGUUUGAAAAUAGUUUUGCAUGUACUUACUGAAAAUCAUACUUAAAAACUUAGCUUGUUCUUGUUUGAAAAUGGAUCUUUUAUAGAAUGAAACAUGCUCACAUACUUAUCUUAUCGGAAUGGCUGAGGAAUAUAAAAUAUGUUCUUGCACUUUUCUUAACUUACUUAUAUUAUCUUGUCUUAUUUUGUUGGAUAUGUGGAUCUCUUUAUAACGCCUCAGAAUGACUCAAAGAGUCCUUAAGAUGUCCCAUAAGUGUAACAUAAGCUAAACACUCUCUUGUACACCAACAUGUCCUAUUGAAUGGAGCAUAGCUUGGCGUUCCCUUAUCUCUCCACAUGUCCCAAAGCCUCAAUGCCCAAAUCACAAAACUUAUUGGUGAGUACUCACAAUCCUUUGGUAUACAAAUAUAUCCAAUAUAUAAGCUCACAAAGGCACUCGUAUAGAAACUUAGCACAUAGAGCUAGAAAAAACAUAGCUUAUAGAACUGUAUUUUUAAAACAUGCUUUAAAACAUAGGCUUGCAUAGGAGCAUGCGUAACACAUAUCUUUAAAACAUAGCUUAAAACAUAUCUUGAAAACAAAUUAUCAGAACUUUUAAAAACAUAGUUUUAUAGGAAAAAAAACUUACUCUUGGAACUUAGUUUUUAAAAAAAAAAGAUUCUUAGAAAACAUAACAGUUCACACACAAGUUACGAAACCUGAGCAUUCAUACUAAAAAACAUGAUAGUUACCACACUUAUGGCAAUUCUUAACCACUCAUCGAUAAAACUGAAAAUUUAAAUGAGUUUUGCCUUGCCUUUAUCCUUGCUGUAGAUAGUCUGGUUGGUUCGUAACAUGCAUAAACACACAAAUUACUUCAAUAGACAAAACUUACGAACUUCACACAUGCAAGCGAACCUAGCUUUCUGGACAAUAAACCCUAAUAGGAAAAAUGCUUACCUUGGUUGCUACGAAUUUGGUUCAGAACAAAGACUUGACAACAAAAUAACGAUGAAAGAAUUUUUCCUAGAAUAAGGAUUGUAUUUAUAGGCACUAAGUAUCUUAGUGACCUUAGGAUACCCUAUUUGACUUAGGAACCCUCUACGGUUUAAAAGAAGGUUACGUGCACGAAAAGUAUCCUAGAUACACAAUAUAUUUAUUUCCUAAGUUUAGUCUAACUUGACUUUUGAUUGGCGAACCCCUAGUUUGUAACUCAAUUGUUGAACCCCAGCUCACUAAACAGAUUGGAGAACACAACUUUCAAUGAAUCUAGCGAACCUCUUACCACAUCAUUUGGCGUGCAGCAGUUUGCUAGAACACUGGCAAACUCCUUACUGGUAUCCCCUUUGGUGAACCCUAGUUUGCUGAAACACUAGUGAACCCUCACUUGUAAGGUCAAAACUUCUAGAUCAGGUUUCAGGAUGUUACAAACACCAUAUUUUUAUCAUAAUUGUUGUUGAUUAUUUUUCUUUCCUGAAUCAAAUCAUCUUUCAUUAAAUUAUUUUUCUAUUAGUUUUGUAAUUGUCGUCAAUAGCACCUCUAUAUUUGCCAAGAAACAAACCGAAUUUAGGUGAAUCAGACCGAAAUAAAGUGUGAAGAACAUCAACCGGAACUGUGGUGAAAGGUGUGUGUCUUUUCCAAGUGAAUCAGUGGUGAUCUGUGUACGAUUAAGGCCACAUGGGCUAUGCGUGUGGUCCACCAACUACCACACAACCAUGUGCACUUGUAGAUUUUAGGGACUUCAUGAACCAUACGGCCUCAGCCAGUUACACGAUCGUGUCUUUCCUGCAAGGUUUAUCAUUUUCCACAUGGAAUCAUGCUGUUACAUGACCGUCUAACCCUUACACAGGGUCUUACCCUUCUCACAUGGCCUGGCCAUACAGCCGUGUGACCCUGUUUUACAGUUUUGACCAAAAAUUUAUCAUAUGUUCAAUUUAGUCCUCGUUUAUCCCUUGAAUUAUUUUAGAGUUUUCAUUCACUCAAUUAAGUCCUUGAUAUUGUGUUUAUUCUAGAAUCUGUGAUUUAAUGACUAAAUUCCUAUUUUUAUAUUGUAUGAGAUGUGAAUAUUACAUGCCUACUGUCAUUGUAAUACUGAUAAACUAUUAAUGAUAAUAUUGUUACCACCCUAUUGAGUACAUGUUAAGCAUGUCUACUGCUAAUGUUGAACUGAAUACAUGAUAAGCAUGUCUAUUAUUAUUAUUUUUUGUAUUGUUCUAUUACAAAGCAUGCCAUAUUGCAUUGCAUGGGGUGGGACGAUAUGUAUGGAGAAAGGGUGACAGUUUAAUAAUCUGCAACCCAGUGGUGGCUCGUCCACAAACCCAAUGGCAGUUUAUCUGCAAAUGUUUUAACUAAAAAUACUGGUUGUUUAUCCGCAAUUUUUACAACGAAGUGGUAGUUUAUAUACAAAUCAGUGGUGAUUUAUCCACAACUCGGUGUGUAUGGAUGGAUGAGUUCUGGGGAACUCAUAGUGUGGUGUGUAGUGAAGUUGGGUAGGACCUUUUCUGAUAAACUGAAAUUGCAUUGCCAUUCAUAAACAUGUGCAUACAAACCAUGAAUUCUAAAUAUUAUAGUGAAGUGUUGAAUUGGAAAACCGAUAUUGUGAAUUGCUAUACGAUUGUGGUUAUUCUAAGAAUUGUUAUUUCGUAUGCUUUGACCACUAUGUUACACCGAUUUUCUUGUGAUAUGACUCACAUUGAGCUUAAGUUCACCCCCUUUUAAUUUCCAUCUUUAUAGAUAACCCACCAGGUUAGGACAUAGACACAACAUCUGGAAGGUCUUGGCUCAGAUAAAUUUUUUUAUUAAAAGUAUUUUAGACUUAUUAUUAUUUCUAUUAUUUGGAAUUGUAUUGUUUUAUUCAAACUUUGGCACGAGACUUAAGUUUUGAGUUUAUUUGACAUGCAUGAAAUUUAAUUUGAAUAUUAGGAUAUUGAAACAUGGAUUUUAAACUAAUUAUGCAUGAAAUUUUGGUUUCGCCAUCAUUAAAAAUAUUUUGAAUAUCAUUUUUCCGCUACGAUAUUAUGAAAAUAAGAAUUUGAAAAAAGUAAAUGAAUUGGAAAUCAACUUUUACUAAGUAAACUUUAAAAUCCAUUGUUUUUUGGAAACUUUUAUUUUUUAGUGAAAACAUGAUUACACGCAAAGUUUUUCUUCAAUAAUAAGCAAAUGUUUUAAACAACUGUUUUAUAAAAACUCCGAUAGUUGUAGUAGGCCAUUUCGGUAGCCAAUGCAAUCUUUUGAAUUCAGUCUUAACGUUUAGGCCGAGUUGAGGAAGUUACUAUUAGCAACUUAACAUUAAUUUGAACAUUAAAUGUUGGUCCAAACUUGACACGAAAUAUAUUUAGAAUACAUAAAUCAAAAAAUUAGUAAGUUGGCUACUUGGGUUAAUUUAUUGGUUUGACACAACAUAUCCUAUAGUAAUUCAAUGGGAUUAGAACAUCCCAACUCCUAGUUGAUUUAAUUGCUAGGUUAUCUAAGUCCACGCUUGCAAUUAUUGCUUAAAGCAUUUGUUUAAUAAAAUCUUAAAUUCCAAUGGAGGUGCUUUUUCAUAAUAUGAGGUAACCUAAGAAAAAGGAAAAAGUUGAACAUAUUGUUAAGUUAAAAUUGAACAAAUUAAGGCAAAGUGUACAAAUGGAGUGUCAUCAUUCAAAUCGGUCCUUCUCUUAAUUGUCAUAAGCCAAUUAGGUAAGCCAGAUUCUUUUAAUAAAAAGUAAAGAUUUCAUGGCAUCCCUAAAGCAUUGCAAAUUUUUUGUAAGCAUUAAAAUGGCAUUAGUUGGUACAAUACUGGUAUUGAUCUGUAUAUAUUGCUUCGGUUUUGAUCAGUACCAAAUAGUUUAUAUUUCGUUCAAUCAAAAUUUUGUUAUGUUUGAUUAUUUCGGUGUGUUUCGACCUAUUUUGGUCAAUAUCGGCUUGUACUAGCUAGUAUAAAAUUUGAUAUUUUAAACUAAAUUUUAAAAUUUUUUAAUCUUAAUUAUUUUAAUUUUGGCUAAAGGGUCUUCAAAGCCCUUGAACAUUAAAAUUUCAAUCAAUUAAGCCCAUCACACAUUAAAGUUAACGAUCAACCAUGAAAGAGCAACAAUAGCCAUUAUGAGCAAUUGUUUUCACCACGUGGCAUGUUAGACUGUACCACGUGACGAAAUAUGGUGUUUUAAAUUUAAAACCAUUAAAACUAUAGAAAAUCAUAAAAUAUUAAAAAAUUACAAAAGUUAUAAAAUUAUAUAAAAAUGAACAAAAUUAUAAAAAGUAGUAUAAAUGAUACAAAAAUUAUAUAAAUUAUUAAAAAAUUGCAAAAAGAAAACAUUAAAAAUAAGCUUAAAAUAAGAAUAUAUAAAAAAAUGUAAAAAAAAAAAAUUAGAAACUAAGUUUCGGAUACACAGCUCUGGCUGUAUUUUUCAUAAAUAAAAGCUUGGUUGAGAUUUUAGAUUUGGUAUAAAUACAAUAAAUAUAAUAUUUAUAGUAGUAAACAAGUGAAUGAAAUUAAGUAAUUGUGAUUGAGAUUCACCAUGAUUAUAUUUAUAGGAAUAAAAUAUUCCUAUAUAUAAUGAAAGUGUAAUUGAAUAAUAAAAUUCAUAUUAAUACAAGUUGCUUUAAAACAAAAGUAAAUAAUUUGAUAUUGAUCUUGUGAAACAAUUGAAUUUUGGUUUUGUUAUGGGAUUAAAUUAGCAAUUAAUCCUUUUUAAGAAUUUAGAGAACGAAUUAGAUAAGUUAGACAUAAAAGUAGAAGAGUAAAAAGAAAGGAAGUAGUGGGUAGAUUAACAUAAUUAGGAGUUUAAAUGAUAUGAUAAUAAUUAAAGCUUUAAUUUAGUUAAGGUAAUUAGAAAUGUUUGAUCAUAUUUUAGAUGUUAAUUGAAAUUAAACGAGUUAAUAGGUCGAAUACAAGUUUAUAUUUUAGUUAAGAUAAUUAAGAGUUUAACUAGAAUUAAAAAAAAAUAAGAAGCACAUUGAAUCGUCGAUGAAUUGAUUUGAUUCUAAAUCCAAACUCAAGAGAGUAGGAACAUAAUCCAUUGGAAACAACACUUUUAAGUUGUUUAAAUUUUUGAGAAAGAAAAACACUUUCAACCUUUUUUUUAAUCCCCACUCUAUCCACCAACCUACUCGUUGCUUUAUAAGUCAAAAUCGGGAAAUUAAAUAUUACACUAUUACUAAUUCGGUUAAAUUGGUUAAUUCGGUCAAAUGAAUAUUAUCGAUUUUUUGAUAUGUUUUUUUACUUGUUUUAACCAAAAAAAUAAAACAUAUAAAUUUCGGUUAAUUUGAUUAACCGGCCGAAUUAAUCGAAAUAUUUCGAUUUGGUUAAUGGUUAAAGAUACUAAUUCGAUUCGGUUAACUGAUCGGUUAAUUGUUUGAGCACCCCUAAAAAUAAGUCAUGGGACCAACAUACUGACUUCCAUACAAUUGUUAGGUAUAUAUAGCAACUCAUAAGUAUGAGUAGAAUUAGUACGCAGUACCUUAGAUUCAUUGAGCCACAUUUCAAAGUUUCCCAUGAUCUCUUUUGCUGUCAAUGAUAUAAUAAACUUUUUGUAUUCACAAUUAUGUUCACAAUAUAAAACAUAAUUGGUCGACUUGAAUACAAUUAAAUGAGACACUCUAAUGUUCUUUCCUUUUCCUCAAAUCUCUCUAUUUCAAUUCAACUACUCUCUAGAUAUGUCCCGUUAGAUUGAAUCAUACAUGAUCAUCGAUAGCCUACUAAAAUAGCUAAUAUUGAUGUAAAACUUCAAGAAACAGUUAAAGGUCAUGAGGGUACUUAGUAUAGAUCUUCAGUUGAUCUCAUGGGUUUCACACAACAUAGAAGCAGAGAUCAAAUCUUCUAUUACCCAUUUUGUUCGUAUAAUACACAUGUAGUAUGAAACACAUGCUAUGGUAUUACUCUCACUUUCCUUGAAGUGUAUGUCUUUAUCAAAAAAUCAAUACCACAUAGGUGAUAAUUCAAAUACACUUAGUAUCUAACUCGAGUCCACAACUUUAUUUUCUUAAUAGAUUCAACAACAAGACUUUCACCUGGAAUAAAAGACAUAUAAAGUGAAAAAUUCAUAUUUAAAUUAUCAAACAUAAAUCAAAUUGAUUAUAAUUAUAUCAUUUUGCAUAUAGCUCAUGUCGUGCAAGUGCACACUUUAGCCCCAACAAGUUUGGACCUAUGCCCUUCAUGCAUGCAAGGCAAGAUUCCAAACAUAAUCAUUCAAUCAUCAUUUAUGUGGGUUCUCAUAUAUAUACACAUCUCACACUUGGUAUUUAACCAAUGUGGGAUCUAAGCUUUUCUUUUCCUCAACAAAUAUUCACAAGUAGCUUACUUUGAGCACCAAUUUCUCAUUCAUCACUCAACCAUUUUGAGCAUAUGAUAUACUGUUGUAAAGGUCUCAUGGAGUAGAAUAUAAAAUCAUAAUUUUAUGAUUCAACUCUCAACAUUUACCAAUUAAAAAUAUGCCUCAAAGUUCCCAUAAAUUACAAAUUUUCCAACAACUUUUGAAUGCAUUAAUCAUUAUCAACAUUAACUCAAGUGAGGACAAGAAUAUAUUAUUCAACUUGCAAUCCUAGAGUUUUGACAUUCCUUUAAAAAAUCUCUAGGAAUCGGUUUUGUAAACUGAUUUGCAAUCCUCUUAUGCAUAGACUUUCUCUCUUGUUGUGAGAUUUACCUUCACACUUAUUUUUUCCAAUAUACUAACUUUAGAUAUUUGGAGUUUGGAGUUGGUCAAACAGAUGUAAAAGCUACCUUUUCCAAAUGAAAAUCUGGAAUUUACACAGACAAAGUAGAUUUCAUUGACAAAGGUGAAAUGCAUAGUCUGGGCAAGUUAUGAAGAUCAAUUUUAUGAUCUUAAGCGAUUUUCCAGAUAGUGAUAUGCUAUUUUUUUUAAUUAAGAAACUGUUUAGUUUGAUUUAAUCAUAAUUGAUAAAGACCACUUUACUCAUGUUAAAAGAAGGAAAGAAAAUUUUGUAACUAUGUCAUUUUAUGUGGGUGACAUGUUGUUGGCCGCAAAUGAAUUAGUGCUUAUCAUUAUGGGUUAUGCAAGACUACAUGUCAAUUCAUACGAAUGUGUCCUUUUUUCAAUGUUGUGAGUAGCAUCAUAUAUGUUAUGAUGUACAUAAAGCAAAGUAUCUCUUGUAUAGUUGGAUUCAAGACACUCCAAUCCAAACUCAUUGCAAAACAAUGAAAAUGAUAUUGAGGUAUUGAAAAGACACUAUGGAUUUUCACCAUGCUAUCUAAUUGUGAAUACAAAUACCUAUUAAUUAAAAGGAGAUUUAGAUGAAAUAUUGAAAUCUAUCUCCACACAUGUGUUCGUAUUUGAUAAUGGAGUGAACUCUUAAAGUAGUAAGAAAUAAACUUGUAUAGCAUGGUCUAUUAUUGAUGCUGAAAUUGGCAUUUUUAGCGAUGGUUCAAGAGAGUGUUUGGGUUAAAAUAAUCACGAUUAAUAUAGUUACGUUAAAGCAAAAUAUCUUCUAUAGUUGGAUUCAACAUAGUCCAAUCCAAACUUAUUGCAAAACAAUGAAAAUGAUUUUGAGGUCUUUUAUUGUUCUCUCUUGUAUAGUUUGCAUCUCAAGGCACUUUCUUGUUGAUUACGAUGAACAAAAAACGGUUGCAAGCUCUGGGACGAGCAAGAUCAAUAUCUUUAGAGAUCAAAUGAUGGUUAGUAUACAAAUUUAAAAACUAGUUUUUAUAAUUUCAUUUUCAUAUAGUUUUUAUUUAUUUUUUAUUAUAAAUUUUAUGCUUUUUAUAAUAUUUUAUAUGUUUUAGUAUUUUUACAAUAUUUUAAUAACUUUCUAUCUUUUUAAAUAUUUAUUACCAUUUUUAUUUUUAAUUCAAAUAAUUUAUUUUUUUCCAAUUUUCUAUAUUUUAUAAUAUUUUUAAUAAUAUUUUAUAUAUUUAAAUAUUUUUUCAUAAUUUUAAUUUUUUUAAAUUUUUCAUAAUUUAUAUGUUUUUUUAAUUUUUAUUUUAGUACUUUUUAAUGCUUUUCACAAUUUUUAAUAAUUUUUAUAAUUUAUAUUUUUUUUUCGUUUAUAAUCAUUUUUAUAAUUUAUAUAUAUAUCUGCAAUUUUAUAUAUUUUAUAAUUUUUGCAAUUUUUAUAUUUUAUAAAAUAAUUUUGUAAUACUCCAAACUCGGCCUUAACGUUAUGACCAAAUCUAGAGAUGCUAUGAAGAUACAUUAAAAAAAAUCUAGAAUCUGUUGAUUUUAUAAAAUGAUACUUGCCCUUAUUUAGUAAAAUCUGAGUUUAUUUGAGAAAUUUAUCGUUUUGAUGGGUUUGUCAAUUAUUUACUCAUAAAACUAGUCGAAUCCAAUUUGAAAACACGAUUUUUUUUGUUGUUGUAAAAUCCAUUAUUCAACAAUUCAAUUUUCAACCCACCAACGAGGAAAUCACACAGGACUUCCUGCUAACCUACCAUCUUUUUUCAAGAGUUCAAACCCAAUCCAACACCACCAACUCGACAGCACAUUAAGGGCUAACAAAAAUAAAUUAGAGACUCAAACGAUAAAUUAACAUCUUAUCGUUGAACUAGUAAACUCAUUCUAUCACAAAUUGAUCAAAAAUAGUAUUUAAGUGGUAAGGAACAAGAUAAGGAUAAAAGACAAAAAUAAUAAAAUUUCUUAAAAAUGAGAUUUGAACCCUAAUCAGUAAAACAAAUACUUAUUCAUGACAUAAAUUAACAAAUUAAAAAUUCAUAUUUUUGGGUCUUAAAAGUUUUUAAUAAAUUAUAAUUACUUGAUUCCAGUUUCUUUAUUAUGCCCAAAUUUAAGAUUAAGCCCUAUAUUUUAAUUUUGACAUAAUUUGAUUUAUUUAUUUUUAUAAUGUCAUUAGUUAUCUUAAAUCGCUAACAUUAUUAGCUAUGCCAAGUAAAAUAACAUCGCGUAUUUUUUUUCUUAAAAUCAUCACUUCUAACUAAAUAAUGGCUUAAUCACUUUUUUAACUAAUUAUACUAACAUAGAUUUUUUUUAGUUGGAACGAGUAUGUUUAAGGAAAAAUCACCUCAACACUUUACUUGAAAUUAGUAAUCACAUUAAUUAUUUGGACUAACUAAAUCAUUACUGAAUCACCUUCUAACUAAUUAUAGUAAUGUAUAUAUUUAAGAAAAAGCUCACUUUAAUGUUUUAACUGAAAUUAUUAACCGUGUUAAUUACUUAAACUAACUAAUGAAAAAUAUUUCAAAUUAAUUUAUACUGAAUAACUCUCAAAUCCAAGUAUAAUAAAAUAAUAUGACUAACUCAAACUUGGCGUUGAAUUGAGUUUGGGAGUAAAAUAAUCACAUCACUCAUUGGCAAAGCAUGACUGUGAUUAUGAUAUGGUUUUUCGAAGUAUAACUAUGGUGGAGUUGAUAGCAUUGAUUAGAAUACCUUUAUAAAUGAAUAUAUAACAUUUAAUCAUGUAUAUAUUUUUAAUAAUUUAAUAACUUAAAAAAACACCACACUUUAUUAUAUAUGUAAAAUGUAAAUAGAAGCUACAUUCUUAUUUCAUGAAAUAACAUCAUAGAGAAUGUGAUGGCAGAGUUCAUUCUCAGUAAUAUAUGUGAUACUAAUUAGGAAUCAAACUGUCUUCAAUGGCUGGAUGGAGGUGGAGGUGGAGGUGGAGACAUGAAAGGAAUGGAAGGCAAGCUGCUACUGGGAAGUGGUGGAAGAACAGUGAUAGGCUUAGGCUAAGAUGGUGGGAUUGUUGGUAGCUUCGGGAUUCAAGGCAAUGGAGGUAUGCAGGGUUGAGCUGAGAAUGAUGGUAGAUCUAGGAUUGAAGGCAAUGGAAGUAUGUUGGGCAACUUACGAAGUGGUGGUAGUUCUAAGUUCUGGGAUUGAAGGAAAUGGUGGUGGUUCUGGGAUUAAAGGAAGUGGUGACAUCGGAGGUGGCAAUGGUACCGGUAAAUAUGCAGAUGGCAAUGGUACUGGUAAAAAUGGAGGUGGCAAUGGUAUUGGCGACAAUGGAGGUAGCAAUGGUACUGGUGACAAUGGUAUUGGCGACAAUGGAGGUGGCAAUGGUAUUGGUGGAAAUGGAGGUGGCACUUGCUGAAGAUUUCGGGUUGCUAGGCUAACCUCCAUGCUUGAAAAACCCAAGGAAAUGAAGCAGGCUAAUAAAAUGAAAACGUUGGAAGCUGCCAUUUUUUUUUGGAGAGAUGAACUAAAGAUUGAAGAUUUGAGUUGAGGAAAGCAGGAUUGGUUUCGGGUAUUUAUAGCCACAUUUGAAGGAGUUUUUUAAUUAUUUGUUUGAGAUAUUACUCCCCUACUUAGCUUACUACCUUC
rnacentral:lncRNA from 1 species